rnacentral:rRNA from 1 species
CCAAUCUCAGUUCGGAUUGUAGGCUGCAACUCGCCUACAUGAAGUUGGAAUCGCUAGUAAUCGCGAAUCAGAAUGUCGCGGUGAAUACGUUCCCGGGUCUUGUACACACCGCCCGUCACACCACGAGAGUUUACAACACCCGAAGUCAGUGGCCUAACCGCAAGGAGGGAGCUGCCUAAGGUGGGGUAGAUGAUUGGGGUGAAGUCGUAACAAGGUAAC